rnacentral:sRNA from 1 species
GAGCUUUUUCGACAGGAUCGAUGCGGUGAUCAGCGGCACCGAAUCGACCGUCGCCGUCACGUCGCGGAUCGCAUAGAGGCGCUUGUCGGCCGGCGCCAGAUCGGCCGUCU